rnacentral:rRNA from 1 species
UACCAAGGAAUUAAGUCAUAUAUAUUGUGGUGAAAAGACAGUUAGAUGUAUGAAUUUAUUUUGGUUAUUUGAUGCUUUAUGUAGAGGUAAAAUUCAGGCGUGAUUGUAUAAUUUGUUAAUAACUAUAAAAUUGAAUCUGUGAAAUCCUUAAGGGAAACUGGGAUUAGGUACCCCAUUAUUUCUGGAUGUAAAUUAAUACAAUUUACCGGAGUACUAUGAAUACUUAAAGAUUUAAAACUCAAAGAACUUGGCGGUGUUUUAGACCACUCAGGGGAACCUGUCUCGUAAUCGAUAAUCCACGUUACACCUGACCUCUUUUUGUUUUCAGUUUGUAUACCGUUGUCGUCAGGUAACUUUUUAGAAAUUAGGAGUUAGCAAUAGAAAUAUAAGUGAUUUAGUACGUCAAAUCAAGGUGCAGCUAAUAAAGAGGGGAGGAUGGGUUACAAUUAUAUGAUUUGUAAUAACGGAUAGACAUAUGGAAUGUAUGUUAAAUUGUAAGGCGGACUUGAAAGUAAAUUGGAGUGUAUAUGAGUAAUUUGAAUAAGGCUCUGAGACGUGU